rnacentral:rRNA from 1 species
GAUCGCGGUACACUCCCAACCCAAUGUGAACGUUACCAAACUGUUGCCUCGGCGGGAUCUCUGCCCCGGGUGCGUCGCAGCCCCGGACCAAGGCGCCCGCCGGAGGACCAACCAAAACUCUUUUUGUAUACCCCCUCGCGGGUUUUUUAUAAUCUGAGCCUUCUCGGCGCCUCUCGUAGGCGUUUCGAAAAUGAAUCAAAACUUUCAACAACGGAUCUCUUGGUUCUGGCAUCGAUGAAGAACGCAGCGAAAUGCGAUAAGUAAUGUGAAUUGCAGAAUUCAGUGAAUCAUCGAAUCUUUGAACGCACAUUGCGCCCGCCAGUAUUCUGGCGGGCAUGCCUGUCCGAGCGUCAUUUCAACCCUCGAACCCCUCCGGGGGGUCGGCGUUGGGGAUCGGCCCUGCCUCUUGGCGGUGGCCGUCUCCGAAAUACAGUGGCGGUCUCGCCGCAGCCUCUCCUGCGCAGUAGUUUGCACACUCGCAUCGGGAGCGCGGCGCGUCCACAGCCGUUAAACACCCAACUUCUGAAAUGUUGACCUCGGAUCAGGUAGGAAUACCCGCUGAACUUAAGCAUAUCAAAAUACGGAAGAAA